CAGGAAAAAACCUUAAAAUAAAAGACGAUUUGCUUCAAGUCCAGAAAGAAGCAUUUGCUCUGGAACUUGAGAACAAAUUACUUCAAGAACAACUGAAACAGGCUUUACAGAAAGCUGAAAGAGCUAAUCAUCAACUUGAAUAUUUCCUAAAAACUGAGAAGGCCAAGACAACCAUGGAAAUGGAUAUUAGUAAAAUAAAAGUUAAAGGUGAGGAUUCAGAAAAUAUACCACUGGAAAAAGAAAGGAGAAAAGCGUCAGUUUCACAUUCAGCUGGACAAAAGAGAGAUGAAAUUCAAGAACAAUCAAAGAUUUCAUUCAUCCACCAUGGAAGUCCAAUUGAAGAAAGGUAAAUUAAAAAAAUUUUUUUUUCUAUCUUCUUCUAAUCUUUUAUCAGUUCAUAUAUCUAACUG
rnacentral:lncRNA from 1 species